GAACGGAAAAUGGGAAAGGGACCUCGGUUCUAUUUUUGUUGGUUUUCGGAAUCUGAGGUAAUGAUCAAUGGGGACAGGCGGGGGCAUUCGUAUUGCGACGUUAGAGGUGAAAUUCUUGGAUCGUCGCAAGACGGACCGAAGCGAAAGCAUUUGCCAAGUAUGUUCUCGUCGAUCAAGAACGAAAGUUAGAGGUUCGAAGGCGAUCAGAUACCGCCCUAGUUCUAACCAUAAACUAUGCCUGCCAGCGAUCCGCCGAAGUUCCUCCGAUGACUCGGCGGGCAGCUUCCGGGAAACCAGAGCUUUUGGGUUCCGGGGGAAGUAUGGUUGCAAAGCUGAAACUUAAAGGAAUUGACGGAAGGGCACCACCAGGAGUGGAGCCUGCGGCUUAAUUUGACUCAACACGGGAAAACUCACCAGGCCCGGACACCGGAAGGAUUGACAGAUUGAGAGCUCUUUCUUGAUUCGGUGGGUGGUGGUGCAUGGCCGUUCUUAGUUGGUGGAGCGAUUUGUCUGGUUAAUUCCGAUAACGAACGAGACUCUAGCCUACUAACUAGGCGUACCCGGUAUCCACAAUCGUGCUACCGGCGAUCAAAUUUCUUCUUAGAGGGACAGGCGGCUUCUAGCCGCACGAGACUGAGCAAUAACAGGUCUGUGAUGCCCUUAGAUGUCCUGGGCCGCACGCGCGCUACACUGAAGGAAUCAGCGUGUCUUCCCUGUCCGAAAGGACCGGGUAAUCCGCUGAACCUCCUUUGUGCUAGGGAUUGGGGCUUGCAAUUGUUCCCCAUGAACGAGGAAUUCCCAGUAAGCGCGAGUCAUAAGCUCGCGUUGAUUACGUCCACUUGCCCGU
rnacentral:rRNA from 1 species